rnacentral:rRNA from 1 species
UACGGAGGAUGCGAGCGUUAUCCGGAUUUAUUGGGUUUAAAGGGUGCGCAGGCGGCGUGUCAAGUCAGCGGUAAAAUGUCGGGGCUCAACCCCGGCCGGCCGCUGAAGCUGGCGUGCUCGAGUUGGAGAGAAGUAUGCGGAAUUCGUGGUGUAGCGGUGAAAUGCAUAGAUAUCACGAAGAACCCCGAUUGCGAAGGCAGCAUACCGGCUCCACACUGACGCUGAGGCACGAAAGCGUGGGUAUCGAACAGG